GAAAUCGACAGCACAUAUACUAAAACUAGAACCAUACAGAGAAGAUUAGCGUGGCCCCUGCACAAGGAUGACACCCAAAUUCGUGAAAUGUUCCUCAUUUAA